AUUGAACGCUGGCGGCAUGCCUUACACAUGCAAGUCGAACGGUAACAGGUCUUCGGAUGCUGACGAGUGGCGAACGGGUGAGUAAUACAUCGGAACGAGCCCGAUCGUGGGGGAUAACGGAGCGAAAGCUUUGCUAAUACCGCAUACGAUCUACGGAUGAAAGCAGGGGACCGCAAGGCCUUGCGCGGACGGAGCGGCCGGUGGCAGAUUAGGUAGGUGGUGGGAUAAAAGCUUAACAAGCCGACGAUCUGUAGGUGGUCUGAGAGGGCGAACAGCCAAACUGGGAACGGGACACGGCCCAGACUCCUACGGGAGGCAGCAGUGGGGAAUUUUGGACAAUGGGCGAAAGCCUGAUCCAGCCAUGCCGCGUGCAGGAUGAAGGCCUUCGGGUUGUAAACUGCUUUUGUACGGAACGAAAAGCCUCUUUCUAAUAAAGAGAGGUCAUGACGGUACCGUAAGAAUAAGCACCGGCUAACUACGUGCCAGCAGCCGCAGUAACAC
rnacentral:rRNA from 1 species